rnacentral:rRNA from 1 species
UACAGAGGGUGCAAGCGUUAAUCGGAAUUACUGGGCGUAAAGCGCACGUAGGCGGCUUGGUACGUCGGGUGUGAAAUCCCCGGGCUCAACCUGGGAACUGCAUCCGAAACUGCCUUGCUAGAGUAUGGGAGAGGGAAGUGGAAUUUCCGGUGUAGCGGUGAAAUGCGCAGAUAUCGGAAGGAACAUCAGUGGCGAAGGCGGCUUCCUGGGCCAAUAUUGACGCUGAGGUGCGAAAGCGUGGGGAGCAAACAGG